GGGCCCCCAUGAUGUCCAGCAUUUGGCUCUGAUCACCCCUGAGAACUGUGACCUCAGAAUCUUUGACACCUGUGGAUCUGAGAAGCCU
ensembl:snoRNA small nucleolar RNA SNORD88